rnacentral:rRNA from 1 species
GAACUGUAGAGUUUGAUCCUGGCUCAGAUUGAACGCUGGCGGAAUGCUUUACACAUGCAAGUCGAGCGGCAGCGCGGGGCAACCUGGCGGCGAGCGGCGAACGGGUGAGUAAUACAUCGGAACGUGCC